rnacentral:lncRNA from 1 species
AUUUGCGAAAAUAAAUUUGAAUCAAACAGAUUUAGGAAUAAAUUAAGACAUAAAUGGAAUUAAAAAUGAAAACUGCAAAUAAAAUAAGCAAAGAAGGAACAAAACGAAAGGUCGCGAAUGGGCGGAGGGCCAAACGAGAAAUAUUCCCGUGUCCACAAAACGACACCGUUCCAAUGUCCAAUCUUCAGAUGGUCAGAGGACCAGUUUGAAACAAACAGAAAAUUAUGCGGUAAGAUUUAAGAAAAAUAAAAGAAACAAGCAAGGGCCAGAUCGCGCUACAUCACAAAAGCGGAGGGGCCUCGCGCGCAAAUAGCCCAAUUAGCAGAAACACGCGGAUCCUUCAUUUGUGCGGGUUAGGUCACAUGGGUCUAGGGCUAUACGUCGCCGUUUGGGCGCCUGAGCUUAUACUCCAAAACGACGCCGUUUGCAAGCUCUAUAAAAGUAAAAAAAUUUUAACACUCUUCAUUUUUAACCCUUCUCUUAAGAAAUAAAACCCAAAAUCCUCUCAAACCAUUUUCUCUCAACCGAUCCCAAAGACCAAACCCUAGCCGCCGCUUUUGGCUACUCAGGGGUAUCACCGGCGUUCACGUCUCCACCUCUGCCGUGACUCACGACCCAAGUCGCGUAAAAACAAGAGGAGACACAUUCACCCCCUUUUGGUCCGAUAUUCUAGCCGGAGAAUAGCCUCCGACAAUCGAAACCGCAGGUAAGCGUCUUUGGAAUCUCUUCUUUUUAUUUGUUUUUGAAAAGAAAUUUAAAAGGAAAAUAAAAAAAUCCACAAAAUAUGAAUCGUAAAUCACCUUUUGAAACUGAUUUCUCUUUUUUUGGUUUCUUUUUCGUGUUUUUUUUACAAUGUUUUUUGUUCGAAAAAUCCCCCUAUACAAUAGAGAUAUUCACGGCUUUAUAGCCGAAUCAUAUUACAGCUGUUAAUAUUUCUUGUUUCUAUUCUCGUUGUCUCUGCUUUGCGUGUUUAUGCUCUCUGUCUUGCUUUCUUUUUUGUUUUGUAGGUGAUGGGACAAGGCCAGAGGGUGCUUUGCUGAGGCAACAGAGGCGCUAGGGGUGGUCAGGUGUUGAACGCGCUGGCACCACGUGGGGAACGGCGCGGCGCAAAGGGGAGGGAAGGAAGCUAGGGUUUGUUGGCUAAAAAGUUUUAGGA